rnacentral:rRNA from 1 species
UACGUAGGGGGCGAGCGUUGUCCGGAUUUACUGGGCGUAAAGAGUGCGUAGGUGGUUUUACAAGUCAGAUGUGAAAUACCGAGGCUUAACCUCGGGGCUGCAUCUGAAACUGUAGAACUAGAGUACAGGAGGGGAAAGCGGAAUUCCUAGUGGAGCGGUGAAAUGCGUAGAGAUUAGGAGGAACACCGGUGGCGAAGGCGGCUUUCUGGACUGCAACUGACACUGAGGCACGAAAGCGUGGGGAGCAAAC